rnacentral:lncRNA from 1 species
AUUAAUAUUAGGAACAGGGGAAUGACAAAGGACCUCCUCAAGGAGAGAGGAAAAUUUUAAAAAUUAGUUUUUUGUCUUUGUGUGACUUUGAAAGCUAGAGGACAGCUGAGUUUUCCAGCAGAAAAAGAAGCAGGAGACAUGUAUAAAAAAUACAAGAGGCAGCACAGGAGAGUCAAGACAAAGAUGCAAGUUCCUGCUUUUGGAUUUAGAGGUCAGCCCUGAUUGAAUGAGUUUGCAUGACGUCAGCUCCUAAGUCAUCCUCUGAGAGGUGCUUUGGAAUAGAAAACAGGAGUGGCUGGAGCCUAAUGAUUCAUACCCAGGUGGUCCUCAGAGGAGGGAGAAGGUGAAGAAAAGCAAACUGGUAACUUCAGCUUAGUAAUACUGAAAAAAAGAAAUCUCUUUGGUAAGAGAGAAUACCGACUGUAAGAGAAUUGGAACGUUGCUCUAAUUGAAAGGAAUGCUGAACUAAUGUUUGUAUUAGAAUAAAUUACUGGAAAAAAACA